rnacentral:tRNA from 1 species
AUGAGGUGGUCGAAAUCAUAGUCGGUAGAUUGUAAAUCUAUUUAUAAGUAUAAAACUUUCUCAU